rnacentral:rRNA from 1 species
GACGAACGCUGGCGGCAUGCUUAACACAUGCAAGUCGAACGAUGAAGCCGGAGCUUGCUCUGGUGAAUUAGUGGCGAACGGGUGAGUAACACGUGAGUAACCUGCCCUUGACUCUGGGAUAACUGCUAGAAAUGGUAGCUAAUACCGGAUACGACCCUCGGAGGCAUCUCCAGGGGGUGGAAAGAAUUUAGGUCAAGGAUGGACUCGCGGCCUAUCAGCUAGUUGGUGAGGUAACGGCUCACCAAGGCGACGACGGGUAGCCGGCCUGAGAGGGUGACCGGCCACACUGGGACUUAGACACGGCCCAGACUCCUACGGGAGGCAGCAGUGGGGAAUAUUGCACAAUGGGCGCAAGCCUGAUGCAGCAACGCCGCGUGAGGGAUGACGGCCUUCGGGUUGUAAACCUCUUUUAGCAGGGAAGAAGCGAAAGUGACGGUACCUGCAGAAAAAGCACCGGCUAACUACGUGCCAGCCGCCGCAGUAA